rnacentral:rRNA from 1 species
UACGGGGGGGGCAAGCGUUGUUCGGAAUUACUGGGCGUAAAGGGCGCGUAGGUGGCCAACUAAGUCAGACGUGAAAUCCCUCGGCUUAACCGGGGAACUGCGUCUGAUACUGGAUGGCUUGAGUUUGGGAGAGGGACGCGGAAUUCCAGGUGUAGCGGUGAAGUGCGUAGAUAUCUGGAGGAACACCGGUGGCGAAGGCGGCGUCCUGGACCAAUACUGACACUGAAACGCGAAAGCCAGGGGAGCAAACGGG